AGAAGAAUAGGAUUAGUCCAAGACAUUUGUUGUUAGCUGUGAGGAAUGAUGAGGAACUAGGAAAAUUACUUGCUGGUGUUACUAUUGCUUAUGGUGGUGUUCUUCCUAAUAUAAACCCUGUUCUUUUGCCUAAGAGGACUGAAAAUACUUCUUCUGCAAAGGAGCCUAAAUCUCCAAAGGCCAAGAAAACUCCUAAGAAAGCUUAGAUUGAAAGAUGGCAAGAUUCCAGGUCUUGUUCUGCAUGGAUAGUUUAGUUUAGGCACCUCUAAUUUAGCGGAUACAUAUUUAGUGUAAACCAGUCAAUCUAAUUCCUAAUUGUCUUUCUAUGUUUAUGAGUUUUAUUUGAUAAUAAACUCCUUUUGUUUUUAACCAAAUACUGUGUUUAUCAUGCUUACUGUUAUUGACUUGCAAUAUUGAGAGGCGUUUAAUUUAUAUUCCGUUACUAUCUGAAAAGAAAAAAAGAAAAAGAAAUACAUGAUUAGGAUAUUGUCAUUUUAUGAGCAAAAUUAUUAUUCUAUCUUUAUAAAAAUCUAAUAACAUCCCCAUCUAUUAUUUCUAGUUGAAUUCUAUAAAUUGGGCCUUACUCAAUUAUGUACUAUAUAAAAUUACUUCAUUAUCUAUGAUUAAAACAAGAGAUUAAUUGUUAUGCAUUGUCAGUGUAAAAAGUUUUAUACUGUGAAUGCAUUACAAUCAUCAAUCUAUAUUAUUUUUUAAAUGUUUCAAAUAAAAGUCAAACAUUUUAAAUGAAUUAGUGGUUGUGAUUAACUGUCAGUGUAAAAAAUCUUUACACUGUCAGUGUAUAUCAAUUAAUCUAUUAAAACUAAUAUUAUGUAAUUUGUAAUUUGUCGAUUGCUAAUCAUGAUUACUACUUAUUUAAUUAAAUUAUUUUUUAAUUAGAUAAAAUAUUAAUUAUAAUUUGAUUUAAACCAACCUUUCCAAUAUAGACUUAUUUAUUCUUCACUCAUUUCACAGAAUCUUUUUCAAAAAGAAAACCUUUCAUCUUCAAUGAUGAAUCACCUCUCAUCAUUUUAACCGAACACAUAAAAAUCCAUCAUUAACCUGCAGGUUCAAAAACCAUUCUAACCUUCAACACAUAACACCUGUAAAUUCAAUACAAAACACCAAUUUCCAGAACACAAUUCACAGAUAAUCGCAUAAGCAAAAGAGCAUAUCUAGACGAAGCAGAAUGGAGAAGAAGAAAACAUAAAUAAAUAGUAUAAAAGAGUCGAUUUCGUAACCUUAGCUGUCAAAUCUUUCGCCGGCUUCGGUGUUCCCCAGACUAGCUCUGUGUUCGUAAGUCUUCUAACUUUUUCCACAUAUUCUUUAUACAGUUUUGUUUGUCUUGCUCCACUGAUGUAAAACUCUUUGCUGAUUGCGUAAAUCCACUGAUUUUGUCAUUUUUAGGGUUAGGGUAUUGAUGUUGUAUAUACCUUUUUGUUUCAUUGUUAUCCAUCGCCUCAUUAUUUUUUUGAGGUUCAUCUUCUUCGAGAUCAAUUUCGUGGCUUCUUAAAGAACUAACAAGUUCUUCAAGACUAAUGUUGUUGAGAUCCUUUGCCAGCUUCAAGGAAGUUAUCAUAUGUCUCCAUUUUUUGGGAAGACUUCUGAUAAUUUUCUUGACAUGGUCAGCUGUAGAGUAUCCUUUGUCCAAAACUUUUAGUCCUACAACAAGCAUUUGAAACCUUGAGAACAUAGUCUCAACUGUUUCAUCAUCUUUCAUUUUGAAUGCCUUGUACUUUUGAAUUAAGGUCAAUGUCUUUGUCUCCUUUACUUGAGCAUUCCCCUCACGAGUCAUCAUCAGAGAUUCAAAAAGGGAUUUGAUAGAAUCUUUGUUUGUUAUCUUCUCAUACUCCGUAUAAGAGAUUUUUGACAAUAUGGUUCUAGCCUUAUGAUGAUUUUUGAAGUAUUUCUUCUGUUGAUCAAUCACAACACUUUUUACUAUAGUAUUUCCUUCAGCAUUCACUAGGUGAAUAUAGCCAUCGCCUACAAGAUCCUAGAGAUCAACAUCGUAACCAAGAAAGAAACUUUCUAUUCUAUCUUUUCAAUAGUCAAAUUUCUCACCAUCAAAGAUUGGUGGUUUUGUACUGUAAUGAUCUCUUUCAUUACUAUUAACAACAUUAGCAGCGACCAUUGUUUCUCACACAAACUGGAUUGGUACUAAACACAGUGAGGUGUUGAUAAAACUUAUAUCACAAUCAGAAUCGGAGCUUUGAUUUCAAUUGAAUGUGUGAAAAACACAAGAAAUAGGGGUUUGAAUUGGGUUUUACAAGCAAAAGUUUUUUCCAAAACAAGAACACCACUUAACAAGUUAAUAACAAAGAGAUAAAAAAACACAAGUAUUUUUAUCCUGAUUCGCUUGAAACUCAAAUCUACUCCAGUCCACCCGCCAAGGUGAUUUUUCCUUAUACACAAGGACUUAAUCCACUAUAUUCAACAAAUUACAAUAAUCACAAAGAAUAACCUUCUUUGUCUUCUUAAGGAUCCAAUUAUACCUUAGUCUGCUUAAGAACUCACAAAGAACAACCUUAUUUGUCUUCUCAAGGAUAACCUCCUUAAAGAAUCAAACAAACAGUUUGAAUAAUAUUUUAUGUGUUACAAGAUGCUUCAAUACAAGCAGAUUUUACACAAAUGAAUAACAAACACUUAAAGAAAAACUGUAUAGAAAAAUAAUUGAUAGCUUUUCAAAAAGAAAAUAGACUUGUCAAAAUAUUGUGUCACCGAUAGUUUUCUUCAAGUCUCCAAGUCUUACUUAUAUAGCAUAAGAAGAAGACGGUUGGAGGACAUAAUGGAAAAAACUCAUAGAGCGGCUGUCCACUGUUGGAUGGGAAAGGAGUGAUACUACGUAUUAUCCUUCGCCUACAAAAUUAAUAACAAAUGUGAUGUAUAAUAUUGUCCUUGCCCAUGAAAUCAGGUAGUGGAAAGGAUGUUUGUUUUGUAUUAUGUACUAUUUGAUCACGUUCUCAUUUGAUCUUAUCUUCUAGUUCAUUUGCUUCUGAUGAAAGUUGAUGAAGUAUGAAAUGAAGAAAGAUAAAGCUGGAUUCAGAAACUUCAAAAUCUUUGGUUUGAACCUUGACAACGUCAGUAGUCUGACUUAAGAUCUUCAGAGUCUUUAGAAUCUUCAGUCAGAACCUUGAUAACUUCAAUCAUGUGACUUGAGAUCUUUAUAAUCUUCAGCUACAUAACAUAACUUCAAAAGCUUGCCAUCUUCAGAAGUUUGGUGAUCAAAGUCACGUCCAGAAGCAUGAGCUGAGAGAACAUUGCAGAAGCAACAUAAUGUCUCCUUAAAAGCUUCUCAAAAGUGAAUCAACACAGAAGCAAAAAGAACAUUACAACAUCAAUAUUGAACAUCUUUCAGAACUUCUAAUAGCUGGCGCAUAAGCGAAUUUGGAACAUAGCAUUCAGAAACUGAUAACGUCGCACAUUAUAUAUUCAGAAUCAGAAUUGGUUGUUAAAGCUGCACAAUAACAAACCAUCAGAGUACCAAAAUUGUUCUCACAUAAAUACAAUAUUAUUAUCAUUAAAACUCAAGCUAUAGAUACAGAACCAAAUAUUGUUCUAACAGACAUUCACGCAUCUUUCUAGUACCUUUUCUAAGUUAGCAAAGGGACCCCUCAAAGCUUGAUUCACAUAUUGAAAAAUCAUCCAUGAAUACUUCUAUGAUAUCAUCUAGAAAGUCUGUGAAUAUCCCAUCUUGACGUGUCUGGUAGCAGCUUCGUCCUUAUACCUUUGUUUAUUUGUUACUAACUAGUAAACGAGCUUAGUAAUCAUCCAAGAAAUAGAUAAAGUGGAACAAUUUGUCUAUUUCGUGAUCAUGAUGUUCAAAGGUGUUGAGGCUUGGUAUCAGAAGAUUGAAAGACUCACAUUGGCAGUGGUGGUGACUGUAAGGAGACUUAGUAAUUCCUGAAAUUUGAGUUCAAAGAUAGCAACAAUUAAGCCGAAUACGAAGCUCUCAUCGAUGACAUGACAUCCUUCCUAGAGGUAGCCGCAUCGACUCUGAAAGUCAAAAAUGAGUUGAACAAUAAAUUUAUAUAUAAAAACCACAUUUAAAUUCAAAAACUAUAAAUUAUAAUUUUAAAAUAAAACAGUUUUAAAAACCGAAUUAAUUCUAUUUUAAAAAAACUAAACACCACAAAAUUACUUUUAAAAUCAAUUCUACACCUUUAAAAUAUAUAAUCUUUUACCUUCUUUAAAAAUCAAAUCAAACAAUAAUUAAUUAAAUAAAGAAAAAUACUUACAAGUGUUCCAUGGACAAAGAUCUUAAAUACAAUGUAUCCCAUUGACGACUAGUUGGAUGUAUAUUGCAUAUAUAAGUGUGGGUGCUCUUAGGCGGUGGACUGGCGGAAGCUUUUAAAACUCGUUGUGAUUUAAUUAAAUGAAUUUUACUAGUUUAUGGGGAAAAAUAAACAAAAUUGCAAGGAGACAGAUUAAAAAAAGAAAAGAAAAGUACAGACCGCGUAACUGGCUUCCCAUUGGACAGUUUUAGGAGACAAGGAUCGCCAGGUAAGUGACAGUAAACCAUAGAUAAGUUCUAAUCUAACGGUGGCCUUGUUUCCAAAGCAAGAUCCCAUAAAAGUAUAAAACCCUGCCAACCCCAAUUCCCACCAACAUCUCACCAUUUCCAAUAUUCAAAAUUUCUUACAACGCAGCGAAUUCACAUUCAAAAUGGACGCAAGCACAAAGGUGAAAAAAGGAGCAGGAGGAAGGAAAGGAGGAGGACCGAGAAAGAAAUCGGUGACAAGAUCCGUUAGAGCCGGACUCCAAUUUCCCGUCGGAAGAAUCGGUCGGUUUUUGAAGAAAGGCAGAUACGCUCAGCGUGUUGGUACUGGUGCUCCUGUUUACCUAGCAGCUGUUCUUGAAUAUCUUGCCGCCGAGGUAAAUUUCGAUUUUCAAUCUUCUGCUUGAGUUUUGUUUUUUCUUAGUCAGGAAUUUUUGAUGAAUUGUUCUUAUUUAUUUAUGUGUAGGUUCUUGAAUUGGCUGGAAAUGCGGCACGCGAUAACAAGAAGAAUAGGAUUAGUCCAAGACAUUUGUUGUUAGCUGUGAGGAAUGAUGAGGAACUUGGAAAAUUACUUGCCGGUGUUACCAUUGCUCACGGUGGUGUUCUACCUAACAUCAACCCUGUUCUUUUGCCUAAGAGGACUGAAAAUGCUUCUUCUACUGCAAAGGAGCCUAAAUCUCCAAAGGCCAAGAAAACUCCUAAGAAAGCUUAGAUUGAAAGAUGGCUUUAGAUUCUAGGUCUUGUUCUGUGUUGAUAGUUUAGUUUAGGCACCUCUAAUCUAGCGGAUACAUAUUUAUUGUGUGUAUCAAUCCAUGUAAUUCCAAUUUUUUCUCGUUUAUGAGUUUUAUUUGAUAAUGGAAUCCUUUAAUUUUUAAUCAACUACUUUGUUGUUUAUCAUGUGUACUGUUAUUGAGAGGCGUUUAAUUUAUAUUCAGUUACUGUACAGUCAAUUGUAUUUCAAAAUCUGAAAAGAAAGAAAAAGAAA
rnacentral:lncRNA from 1 species